rnacentral:rRNA from 1 species
UACGUAGGGUGCGAGCGUUAAUCGGAAUUACUGGGCGUAAAGAGCGCGCAGGCGGUCGGAUCAGUCGAAUGUGAAAGCCCCCGGCUCAACUGGGGAGGGUCAUUCGAUACUGUCCGACUCGAAGGCAGGAGAGGGAAGCGGAAUUCCCGGUGUAGUGGUGAAAUGCGUAGAUAUCGGGAGGAACACCAGUGGCGAAGGCGGCUUUCUGGCCUGUUCUUGACGCUGAGGCGCGAAAGCUAGGGGAGCGAACGGG